AAAGGAAUUGACGGGGAGCACCACAACAGGUGGAGCCUGCGGUUUAAUCGGAACUCAACGCCGGGAAGCUCACCGGAUAAGACAGCGGAAUGAUAGCCGGGCUGAAGACUCUGCUUGACUAGCUGAGAGGAGGUGCAUGGCCGUCGUCAGUUCGUACUGUGAAGCAUCCUGUUAAGUCAGGCAACGAGCGAGACCCACGCCAACAGUUGCCAGCAUGUCCUCCGGGAUGGUGGGGACACUGUUGGGACCGCCUCUGCUAAAGCGGAGGAAGGAAUGGGCAACGGUAGGUCAGUAUGCCCCGAAUAUCCCGGGCUACACGCGAGCUACAAUGGUUGGUACAAUGGGUAUCUACCCCGAAAGGGGACGGGAAUCUCCUAAAACCAAUCUUAGUUCGGAUUGAGGGCUGCAACUCGCCCUCAUGAAGCUGGAAUCCGUAGUAAUCGCGUUUCAACAGAACGCGGUGAAUACGUCCCUGCUCCUU
rnacentral:rRNA from 1 species